rnacentral:rRNA from 1 species
GACGAACGCUGGCGGCGUGCUUAACACAUGCAAGUCGAACGGAGAAUUUAUUUCGGUAAAUUCUUAGUGGCGAACGGGUGAGUAACGCGUAGGCAACCUGCCCUUUGGAUGGGGACAACAUUCCGAAAGGAGUGCUAAUACCGAAUGUGAUCCAUUUCUCGCAUGAGAGAUGGAUGAAAGAUGGCCUCUAUUUAUAAGCUAUCGCCAAAGGAUGGGCCUGCGUCUGAUUAGUUAGUUGGUGGGGUAACGGCUCACCAAGACGAUGAUCAGUAGCCGGUCUGAGAGGAUGAACGGCCACAUUGGGACUGAGACACGGCCAAACUCCUACGGAGGCAGCAGUGGGGAAUCUUCCGCAAUGGACGAAAGUCUGACGGAGCAACGCCGCGUGAGUGAUGAAGGUUUUCGGACUGUAAAACUCUAGUUGUCAGGGACGAAAGGUGCGAUCUGCGAAUAGUUGAUCGUAUUGACGGUACCUGACGAGGAAGCCACGCUAACG